GAUGAACGCUAGCGGCAGGCCUAACACAUGCAAGUCGAACGGUAACAGGGAAAAGCUUGCUUUUCCGCUGACGAGUGGCGCACGGGUGCGCAACGCGUAUAGAACCUACCCUGUACAGGGGGAUAGCCCGGAGAAAUCCGGAUUAAUACCCCGUGGUAAUUAGAAUUGGCAUCGAUUUUAAUUUAAAGCUUCGGCGGUACGGGAUGGCUAUGCGUCCUAUUAGCUAGAUGGUAAGGUAACGGCUUACCAUGGCUAUGAUAGGUA
rnacentral:rRNA from 1 species